AUUGAACGCUGGCGGCAUGCCUUACACAUGCAAGUCGAACGGUAACGCGGGGCAACCUGGCGACGAGUGGCGAACGGGUGAGUAAUGCAUCGGAACGUGCCCAGUAGUGGGGGAUAGCCCGGCGAAAGCCGGAUUAAUACCGCAUACGACCUACGGGUGAAAGGGGGGGAUCGCAAGACCUCUCGCUAUUGGAGCGGCCGAUGUCAGAUUAGGUAGUUGGUGGGGUAAAGGCCCACCAAGCCUUCGAUCUGUAGCUGGUCUGAGAGGACGACCAGCCACGCUGGGACUGAGACACGGCCCAGACUCCUACGGGAGGCAGCAGUGGGGAAUUUUGGACAAUGGGCGCAAGCCUGAUCCAGCCAUGCCGCGUGCGGGAAGAAGGCCUUCGGGUUGUAAACCGCUUUUGUCAGGGAAGAAACGCUCUGGGCUAAUACCUCGGGGUAAUGACGGUACCUGAAGAAUAAGCACCGGCUAACUACGUGCCAGCAGCCGCCGUAA
rnacentral:rRNA from 1 species